AGUGGGGAAUAUUGGACAAUGGGGGGAACCCUGAUCCAGCCAUGCCGCGUGUGUGAAGAAGGCCUUAUGGUUGUAAAGCACUUUAAGCGAGGAGGAGGCUCCUGUAGAUAAUACCUACAGUGAGUGGACGUUACUCGCAGAAUAAGCACCGGCUAACUCUGUGCCAGCAGCCGCGGUAAUACAGAGGGUGCGAGCGUUAAUCGGAUUUACUGGGCGUAAAGCGUGCGUAGGCGGCUUCGUAAGUUGGAUGUGAAAUCCCCGAGCUUAACUUGGGAAUUGCAUUCAAAACUGCGAGGCUAGAGUAUGGGAGAGGAUGGUAGAAUUCCAGGUGUAGCGGUGAAAUGCGUAGAGAUCUGGAGGAAUACCGAUGGCGAAGGCAGCCAUCUGGCCUAAUACUGACGCUGAGGUACGAAAGCAUGGGGAGCAAA
rnacentral:rRNA from 1 species